rnacentral:misc_RNA from 1 species
UUUUGCACGUAGUUAAAUGCGAAUUGGAAAUAUUAAACUUUUCAGAUUGAAAAUGCGUAAACGGGCAGGAAUAGGAGCUAUUCAUAAGAAGAAAUUGGACGCAGAAAAGUUUAAAGGGAAAGCGGAUGCAUUAGCGGAAACCCAGCUUGUAGAGCUCAGUUCUCAACUACAGACGUUUCAAAUUAAUUUAGAAAGUUUUGCUCGAGAACACAAACAAGAAAUUAAAAAGGAUCCAGCUUUUAGAAAACAUUUUCAGGAUAUGUGUGCUAGUAUAGGAGUAGAUCCUCUAGCGUCUGGUAAAGGAUUCUGGUCGAAUAUGCUUGAAAUAGGAGACUUCUACUACGAGCUUGCAGUUCAAAUUGUCGAGGUUUGUAUGGCCCACGCUGAUAAAACAGGAGGUCUGAUGGAGCUGGGAGAUGUUAAACAUAAACUUAUAAAAUCUAGAGGCAGAUCUGCUAUACAUCAGGAGAUAUCAACUGAGGAUAUUUUAAUAGCGACGAAGAAAUUGAAGGUAUUGGGAACAGGGUUUACAGUAAUUCCUCUUGGAUCUGGUAGAUAUCUGGUGCAGUCAGUUCCUGGAGAACUCAGUUCCGAUCAGAUCACAGUUCUUCAAGAAGCCGAGGAUAAAGGAGGUUCAGUUUCUAGAUCUUCUCUGAAACAACUCAAAUGGGAGGAUAGUAGGAUUGAAAUAGUGCUGAACACCAUGCUUGGAGAAGGGUUACUUUGGGUUGAUGAGAAGGGUUCUGAGACCAUGUAUUGGGUUCCUUCCAUCUUUAGUUCAAAAUAUCAACAAUAGGGGUCUCGUGUCACAUCUUAAUCGAUGUUUUGUUCUGAUUUCUUUAUGUCUUGAAUUCUGACAACAAAAUUUACAUGCUGGGUUAGUGGUCGCUAUUUAAAGUAAUAAAAAUCAAUGAAAUUUGGUUAGAAACUGUUCAGAAUUUCACCCCACCCCUGGAUUUUAAUGUUGUAAUUCUAGUUUACUAUUUAUGUAUUUGAUUGUAAAUUCAGUAAUCAAUAUUCAUUCUGUGUAACUCAACAUAUUUUAGUAAGUGUUAUGUCCUUUUCAUUUAUUUUAAAUGUUUUAAAAAUUAUAUUUUAGUUUCAAGUGUA